CGAGAAAACAGCCCUCAUAUAAUGCUUGUUUUUGUACCUGCUUGCUGACUACUCAGAAAAAGAAUUGUGGCAUGUUAAACAAUUAGAAACCACCUUCAGCUUCCUCCAAGCUCACAUCACAGCUCGUGUAUGGCUGCAGCGGCUGCGUUCUUGUAAGGCUCAUUUGUCACUCCCUGCCCACCUACUGGACUCGUUUCUGUAGUCACUACUGAGUUAUUAAUUAGAGUCAUCUGGGGAGGCACAACUCAUCACUGCUCCCUGUUCUGGGAAUUCACUGGAGAAUAACAUCCGUAACCAGACCUUCCAGAACAUGCAUGGCACUUGAACGGACUUAGAUUUCCAGGAGCAUCUAUUGGACCCCCAGACCAUAGAAAGGGGUUUCAGCGAGGCACUUUGCAGAAGAUCCUCAGAGGUUCUACCACAAUUGUAAAUGAUUCUGGAAAUUCCUAAGCCCCAAAUUGACCACACUUUCUCUACUUCACCACAGAAGAAGUCUCUUGAGUCUCAACAGUCACAUAAUCACAGAAGGCUUAUUCUUGUAUGCAUCGUAUUUGGAAAAUAUCUUUAUAAGCAAAAACUUACUUGUGCAGAUGUUCAGAGAUACCAGAUGAAGACGUUGGAAACAUUGCCUAUUUGGGGAGAAAAAAGGGACAGUCUGCAAUAAAGAGUCCUUUGACCUCUAAGCUGAUACUAAGUAUUCAAUCAUCUUUUAUUUUUCUUGUGCAAUGGCUUUCUUUAUGUGUGAACACGACAAAUGAAAUCCAGGACAUGCAAAGGUGGAUCUUGUUUUCCAAUGGCUUUCCCUAUUCACCCUAGGAAGAACUUGAGUUCCCAGGCAGCUAGACUUAGGUUGCCCAAAUAGUGCAGGAAGAAAGGUGUAAAACUGAAAGCAGAAGAAAACCUUUACAAAUUUGCUGUUAAGAAUCAGUUUUUGGAAAUAGUGUCCUGGGUUUGUUUUAGAGAUUCUUUCAUAGGAAACUUAGAAUUAUUUCCAUGAGGACAGACAAUACUUGAACCUUUGCCAAGUGAGUGCUCUGCCUGCUAUGCCACCCUCUCUGCUUCCUCUCCUGCUACAGCCAGUCCCUGGGACUUGAAUUCCCUUCUGCUAGAACAAAAUUUUCAGCAGCUCAGCUACUCCAGCUCAAACAGCCUCUUGCCAAGUUAUUAAGGAAGUUUCCAAAGGGAAAACUUUCAGCUCUCCUACUCCACUCUCUGCUGCGUAUCUUUGUCAACAGCUCUAACCUCAACACUGUUACAGAAAUUAUGGACUAAAUGUCCAGUUUUUGAAGGAAAAAGGCUGAGAAACCUCAUCUUUAACAACCAACCCUCCGUUCAGCUGGAGACUGCAAUGAAAUCACAAAUCCACAAUGAGGACAACAAAUUCUUUCUACAAAAACAAAAGCCAUGACACAGAUUUAACAUCAGCAGUUUUCCAAGAUUCAGAAGAGGGCAAGAAAUUCUGUGGGAUUGCCAAAUCUUACUUGAAAUCGUGUCCUUCAUAAACAAGUAUAUGAAACAGUAGAAGAUAACACUGUCACUGUUAAUUCAAGACACUUGGAUAUUUUAAUCUUGAGGCUCCACUAAAAUGCAUUAACUGCCAUGAAACAUGACACAGUCCCGGAUUGUCUUUUUAUGGGGGAACAUAAAUACCAUCAAACUUGUGCUUGAGUGCUACAAAAGAAAUGUGCUUUGCAUGUUGGAUCUUUGGUAGAGAUUUCCUCUGACACACUGAUGACAUUUUUUUUGCACUUACAUUGCAAUAUGUGAGAUUUUACCUUAAAAUUUCCUGCCAACAUAUGGCUUUAUAUUAAUAUCACAUAUUUCACUUAAAAUGAAUCUAUGAGGACCAACUUGAAAAUAUGAACCAAGCACACCCUGAUGGAAAAUAAGGAUAGUCACAAUCUUUAGAUUUUUUUUUCAAAGUAUCUCACUUGCCUUUCAGUUAAAUCACAUUUUCACUAGGACUGACUUCUGUCUUUUUUGUUUGCUACUGGCAAAACUGCCUGUAUGAAUUAAUGCAAAAUAGAAUUUGAACAUUACAAAUAACAUGUCUCUGUUCUUUCAGUCACCAAAGAUAGCAACUGACAUUUUUCAAUAAAGUUGC